GAGAUAUUUGACAUCGAACUAGUAAACUUAAAACUUAUAUAAAAUUUCUUGUAUCGAAACAAGCAACAGUAAUCGAUCAAAAUUGUUUAAAAGCCAUUUGGAAAUGAUUGGUCGCAAUGAGACCCCCCAUAAGAAGGCGAAAUUCUGGCAAUCUUACAUCAGAUCCUUGAAGGGAUCCGAAGAUAUCCGGGCUCAUGAGACUCCACGCGUCAGCCGUCCAUACAGCUCGUACUUGGACUCGCCAGCCACAUACAGGAGCAUCUUCGAUGAACCCGCCACUGCCAACGAGCGUGUGCAGUCGCAUGGCUACAGAUACUUGCCAGUGAGCAGAGACACUUAUGGCUACUCGCCACGUGCCAUCUAUGACCAUCACUACAGCAGAACUAUUCCAGCCAAUUACGACGCAGAGAGGGCUUGGAAUGAUCAUUUGAAGCGCAUGCAAGAAAUCGAACGCAGAUACCCAUCUCGUUAUGGUCUCUACUUGAAGGACAAGCCAUACACACCCAACGCUUUGGUGCCUUUGGAAUAUGAGCCAGAAGAUAAGCUGCUCCAAGAACUCAACAAGGCUCGCAGAUCGCCAUCACCACGCCCAAGUCGUUAUACUCGUGCCGGCAGUGAACCGUACGUGCCACCACCAACAUACUGGAGCCGCGCACCAAGCGUAUCGCGCGCCCCAUCUGCUUUUGAGCGCGCACGCAGCUUGGCACCAUCCUUGUUCGAUCGUGCACGCAGCUUGGCACCCAGGCCAUUGUUCCGUGCCAGCUCGUUGGAACCAUUGGAUGAACUCUUUGAUAGUAAGUUAGCUGAUAGAAAUUUUGAGCGUGCCGGCUCACCAAGUCCCACUCCCGUUAAGGCUGGCCGCUGGGGACCACGCCCCAAUGAAGUCUCCUAUGAUGCUAAUGGACUUCCCAUCUUCCAUCCACGCAAUCGCUUCAGGGAUUUGUUGAGCCCCAAUCCUUAUGCGCCCAUCUCAGCAUUCACACGCGAUCCCUUCUGGUGGGAUGUCGAUGAUUUGUUGCCCCUUCGUGCCCUAUCUGUGCCACGUGCCCUCUCCGUGCCAAGGGGUUCCAGCCCCAUUACACGCGACUCGUUCUUGUCGCCGGUGAAGAAUCGUUACUUGUGGUCCAGACAUCCAGCUAGACCAUUGACCCCUGAAGGCGAUGAAAUUUUCUAAAAGGAAAUUUACUAAAAACUUUGCAUAAUACCGACAACGAAAAAAGAACAAAACAAAAAUUUAUCAAAACGAAAUUUAACGGCUGUUUAUCAAACCCUUAACGAACAUUAAAAAAUAACAAUAACUUUGCAAAAAAAAAGUUUAAUUGCAAAAACUAGAAAUUUCAAAUAAAAUUACAAUUUUAUCAACAAAAGUAAAAACAACGCAGCAUAUUAUAACAUACCUAUAUAUAUAUUUAUAUAUAUUUAGCAUAAAAAAUCUCUUCACUACGCUGAAGAAAACCAGUAAUCUGUAUACUUAUUUACUACAUUUACUCCAAUUCUUUGUUCUAACCAACAGCCAGCCUUUAAGCCAAACAAAUUGUUAAUGAAAUACAAAUGCAAUUACUCGUACAUUAUUAUAAAAAUUGCACACCGUACGAUUUUGUAAACACGACGACAAUUUAAAAAAAAUAUAUAUAAAUGCGAGCUUUUUUCGUAUUCAUGAAAGAAGCAAAACGAAUAAUGAAACGAGGGCCAACUAAGGAAGAAAUCGAAAAUAUACUAAAUUAGUCGACCUUAUCCAAUAAAACGAAAAUUUUUUCAAAGCAUAAAUAAAGAACACCCACAAAAACAACCAGUAAAUUAAUAAAACUCAUGGAAACAAGAACUUCAGUGAAUUCAAUUAAUACAAAUCGGAGUGGGUGGACAAUACCAAUAAAAUAAAUAUAACAACAACAACAUCUAUUAUUAAAAUAUUUACGAUUCAGUUUAUUUACUUACACGAUUUUGUAUUUUGUAUAGAGAAUGUAUUUAUUUCAAUUUUUUGUGCUGCCAAUGACGACAACUCUGGAACAUAAUAUAAACAAAUCAGAAACGAAAUAAAAAUAUAAAAAAAAAAUAAAUAAAAAUAUUAUAAAGUAAAAAAAGACCUGAGUGCAUAUUUCCCGAUAUUAGUUUUCGCUAACUAUAGCAAAAACGGAAUCAUCUUUCGAGUUUUAUUCAUAAUAAUAACUUUUCAAUAAGUAUUGCAAGCAUUAUGUGUAAAAAAAUGAUUUACAUUUAUUCUUAGCGAGAGCACGCGCGCUUCACAAAGAGCGCGAGAUGGUUUAAUGUUUUAAGAUUACAGUGAGCUUAUUCGACACUGUGGUCUUAUUAGGUUUAGGCGUUAUGUAAGAAGUACUUGUAUUGUUCCUUUUUUGUAUAUUUGCGUAAGUUUUAUUUAAAUGUUAAGUUUGGAUAAAUGAAGAAAACAUUUUGCAGUAAAAUAUUUCUGUUUAAACACACAAAAAGAAAACAAAUGAAAUAAAUGUGUACACAAACUCAUUCACAAAAUUGUGUGUGCCAACGAAUUCUUUGUCUGUGCGUGUAAUUGUAAAAUUUGUUAAAAAUUAACUGAAUUGUAUAUAUCUGCCAACUUUUUAUAAAAUAUGAAUGC